rnacentral:rRNA from 1 species
ACGUAAUAGAUACCCGGGUAGUCCACGCCCUAAACGAUGUCUACUAGUUGUCGGGUCUUAAUUGACUUGGUAAACGCAGCUAAACGCGUGAAAGUAGACCGCCUGGGGAGUACGGUCGCAAGAUUAAAACUCAAAGGAAUUGACGGGGACCCGCACAAGCGGUGGAUGAUGUGGAUUAAUUCGAUGCAACGCGAAAAACCUUACCUACCCUUGACAUGGAUGGAAUCCCUGAGAGAUUGGGGAGUGCCCGAAAGGGAACCAUUACACAGGUGCUGCAUGGCUGUCGUCAGCUCGUGUCGUGAGAUGUUGGGUUAAGUCCCGCAACGAGUGCAACCCUUGUCAUUAGUUGCUACGAAAGGGCACUCUAAUGAGACUGCCGGUGACAAACCGGAGGAAGGUGGGGAUGACGUCAAGUCCUCAUGGCCCUUAUGGGUAGGGCUUCACACGUCAUACAAUGGUACAUACAGAGGGCCGCCAACCCGGCGAGGGGGUAGCUAAUCCCAGAAAGUGUAUCGUAGUCCGGAUUGUAGUCUGCAACUCGACUGC